rnacentral:rRNA from 1 species
CAGUCGCCGCGGUAAUACCGAGGGUGCGAGCGUUAAUCGGAUUUACUGGGCGUAAAGCGUGCGUAGGCGGCUUCUUAAGUCGGAUGUGAAAUCCCUGAGCUUAACUUAGGAAUUGCAUUCGAUACUGGGAAGCUAGAGUAUGGGAGAGGAUGGUAGAAUUCCAGGUGUAGCGGUGAAAUGCGUAGAGAUCUGGAGGAAUACCGAUGGCGAAGGCAGCUAUCUGGCCUAAUACUGACGCUGAGGUACGAAAGCAUGGGGAGCAAACAGGAUUAGAUACCCCGGUAGUCCCUGUCUCUUAUAC